CUGCCCGCCAAAGAGAUGGGGAUUGGGCAGGACAGAGGGAGGGCUGGAUAAAUCCCAGGGGGCUGCAGGUCACGUGGGAAGCUGCUGGGUCUGGGAUGCGGACCAUGCUCAGGAAGGCAGGCAAGGGCUAAGAGGAGCAACCAGGGAACCAGGGUGGCGCCCCUCCUCCAGCCAGGCUUUUAGACUUUGGACAGCCGCAGUUCCCCUCUGCUUGCCCUGUGGCUGUCCUGACAUCCGCUGCCUCAUGCCAGGUGCCCCCAGACCCAGGGCCUCCCCUUCCACAACCCAGAAACCGAUUCCCUUUCUCUCUGCACCCGGCUUCCUGGGACCCGCACACUGCUGUUCUCCAGGCGUCUCCAGGUGUGGGAGGUAUGGGCCAGAGGGCAAAGUGCUCCUGGGUCAGGGCCAGCAGAGGCCUGCGGAACGGACUGUGUGUGUCUGCCCACGCAUGUUGUGUCUGGCCAGGAACACCAGCUCCAGACUGGCGAUUAAAGACAGCACAGCAGAGGAAAAGUAGCCAUUCUGUAAUUACAUGCUUCCCGAAGAAAGUGCCUGCCCGUACAGGUAGGCCCUGGGGCGAGGACACAGCCUUCUGGGCCAGCCUCCUCUGCCUGGCCCCAGCCACGCUCAUCUAAAUGCCACGGCCCCCUCGCUGACACGGAACAGCAACACCUCACCCUGUCUCCAGCGGGAGAGGCCCGGUUGCAGGGCCAAGAAAGCUGCCCCAGCCUUAAGUGCCCACAGGGAGUAAGAGAUUCUUCCUGCUUCCAGAUGCUCAAAAUCUGCCACUCCGCCCCACCGCCAGACACCUCCCGAGACGUUCCCAGGGUGAGGCAGGAUGGCUGGUCGAGAUCUCUACACCAGAGGCAGGCUCCUGCCUCCCCACUCACACCGAUGCUUUACAGGUAGAAGCAACCCCAUCCCGCCAUUUUAAACGUCAGACUCAAGUGGACCCAACAGAGUAGCUUGAGCCCCUACGAAACCCAGGCUCAGGGGAUGCUGGCCACAAAUGCCCCUCAUGAGCUGGACUUCUCCUGCCUGCUCCGUCACCAAAGGGGGGACACGGGGAGGGCAUGGGGCUUUAAAGGAGCGGAAGGGGGGGGGGGAAGGACUCUAUCCAUCAAAUCAGAACUGUAAAAAACCCGCUACUGAAUAGGACCAGAUCUGCAGGGCCUGACGCAGAGCAUCUGGGUCAGCCUAACAAGCCUUUCCAGAACUAACACUCCUGAGCUCUCCCGCACCACCGCGGUCAGGUUUCCCAGGUGGCCCGGAGCCACAAGUCCCUGGCCCCCAGCCCUUGUCCUUUCAGGACUCCUCAUAGGUCCACACAGCUGCUCUUUUCCUUCCCACUCCACCUAUUUGGGGAGCAGAAACCAGGUCCCAGAGGCUCAGGUAGAUAGGUUACAAACAUAGACGGGGACCCUUAGCCUUGACAACAGCAGAUAGCCACUAAUUAGAACUGGCUGGCCCUUGAACCAAGUCGCCAGGUCACAGCUUUCUUAGCCAGUGCAGGUGGGGAGGGGACCCACAUAGUGCCUAAAUCACUGAAGCUGGUCCUUUUUAGUAGCCACGAUAAAUCUCUUCUGAGCAUGGCCAGACACAAAUCAGCCUUGUCUUCAGCCAGGCAAAGCAAAGCCUCAAGCUUCUUCCUCUUCCGGGCGCAUGCUGACCUUGGCACUUCGACCCAUCGACCCAUCUUCUUCCUCCUGCGACCACCCAGACUGAGGAAGAAAUCAGCCUGGCCCUGGUUGCUCCUACCUCAAUGACCCAUGUGAUCCGGGG